UGUGAAGCAUCCUGUUAAGUCAGGCAACGAGCGAGACCCACGCCAACAGUUGCCAGCAUGUCCUCCGGGAUGAUGGGGACACUGUUGGGACCGCCUCUGCUAAAGAGGAGGAAGGAAUGGGCAACGGUAGGUCAGCAUGCCCCGAAUUAUCCGGGCUACACGCGGGCUACAAUGGUCAGGACAAUGGGUAUCAACACCGAAAGGUGAAGGCAAUCUCCUAAACCUGUCCUUAGUUCGGAUUGUGGGCUGCAACUCGCCCACAUGAAGCUGGAAUCCGUAGUAAUCGCGUUUCAAAUAGCGCGGUGAAUAUGUCCCUGCUCCUU
rnacentral:rRNA from 1 species